GGCCAGGCUGAAGACUUUGCCGGAUUAGCUGAGAGGUGGUGCAUGGCCGUCGUCAGUUCGUACUGUGAAGCAUCCUGUUAAGUCAGGCAACGAGCGAGACCCAGCCCACAGUUGCCAGCGUACUCUCUGGAGUGACGGGUACACUGUGGGGACCGCCGCUGCUAAAGCGGAGGAAGGAAUGGGCAACGGUAGGUCAGUAUGCCCCGAAUAUCCCGGGCUACACGCGAGCUACAAUGGUUGGUACAAUGGGUAUCUACCCCGAAAGGGGACGGGAAUCUCCUAAAACCAAUCUUAGUUCGGAUUGAGGGCUGCAACUCGCCCUCAUGAAGCUGGAAUCCGUAGUAAUCGCGUUUCAACAGAACGCGGUGAAUACGUCCCUGCUCCUU
rnacentral:rRNA from 1 species